UGGCUCAGUGGUAGAGUGCUUGCCUUGCAUGCAUGAGGCCCUGAGUUCGAUUCCUUG
rnacentral:tRNA from 1 species